UGGGGAAUAUUGCACAAUGGGCGCAAGCCUGAUGCAGCAACGCCGCGUGAACGAUGAAGGUCUUCGGAUCGUAAAGUUCUGUUGCAGGGGAAGAUAAUGACGGUACCCUGUGAGGAAGCCCCGGCUAACUACGUGCCAGCAGCCGCGGUAAUACGUAGGGGGCUAGCGUUAUCCGGAUUUACUGGGCGUAAAGGGUGCGUAGGUGGUCUUUCGAGUCGGUGGUUAAAGGCUACGGCUCAACCGUAGUUAGCCUCCGAAACUGGAAGACUUGAGUGCAGGAGAGGAAAGUGGAAUUCCCAGUGUAGCGGUGAAAUGCGUAGAUAUUGGGAGGAACACCAGUAGCGAAGGCGGCUUUCUGGACUGCAACUGACACUGAGGCACGAAAGCGUGGGUAGCAAACAGG
rnacentral:rRNA from 1 species